rnacentral:rRNA from 1 species
AGCUCCAAUAGCAUAUAUUAAAGUUGUUGUGGUUAAAAAGCUCGUAGUUGGAUGUCUGGAGGGGAUGACCAGUCCAUCCGCUGGAUGUGAAUGUAGUUUGGCUUCUCUAUGCUCUUGGAGAGCGCUGCUGCGCUUCGAUGUGUGGAGCGAUAUCUAAGAUGUUUACUUUGAGGAAAUUCGAGUGUUUCAAGCAGGCUCACGCCCUGAACACGUUAGCAUGGAAUAAUGAGAUAGGAUCUUGGCUCUUGUUCGUUGGCUUCUAGAGCUGAGGUAAUGAUUAAUAGGAAUAGUCGGGGACAUUCGUAUUUAACUGUCAGAGGUGAAAUUCUUGGAUUUGUUAAAGUCGGACUAAUGCGAAAGCAUUUGUCAAGGAUGUUUUCAUUGAUCAAGAACGAAAGUA